UGGGAUGGCCCGCGGUGCAUUAGCUAGUUGGUAAGGUAAAGGCUUACCAAGGCGAUGAUGCAUAGCCCGAGUUGAGAGACUGAUCGGGCCACAUUGGGGACUGAGACACGGGGCCCAAACUCCUACGGGGGGAGGGGCAGCAGUAGGGGGAAUCUUCCACAAUGGACGACAAGUCUGAUGGAGACAACGCCGCGUGAGUGAAGUAAGGUUUCGGAUACGUAAAGCUCUGUUGUUGGUGAAGAAGGAUAGAGGUAGUAACUGGUCCUUUAUUUGACGGUAAUCAACCAGAAAGUCACGGCUAACUACGUGCCAGCAGCCGCGGUAAU
rnacentral:rRNA from 1 species